ensembl:snRNA U2 U2 spliceosomal RNA
AUCGCUUCUCUGCCUUUUGGCUAAGAUCAAGCGUAGUAUCUGUUGUUAUCAGUUUAAUAUCUGAUACGUCCUCUAUAUGAGGACUACAUAUUACAUUGAUUUUUAGAACAGGGAGACGGAAGAGGGGCUUGCUCCGUCUGCUCCACGCAUCAACCUGGCAUUGCAGUACCUCCGGGAACGGUGCACCUCCU